AACGCCGCGUGAGCGAAGAAGGCCUCGGGUCGUAAAGCUCUGUUGUUAGGGAAGAACAAGUAUCGGAGUAACUGCCGGUACCUUGACGGUACCUAACCAGAAAGCCACGGCUAACUACGUGCCAGCAGCCGCGGUAAUACGUAGGUGGCAAGCGUUGUCCGGAAUUAUUGGGCGUAAAGCGCGCGCAGGCGGUCCUUUAAGUCUGAUGUGAAAGCCCACGGCUCAACCGUGGAGGGUCAUUGGAAACUGGGGGACUUGAGUGUAGAAGAGGAGAGUGGAAUUCCACGUGUAGCGGUGAAAUGCGUAGAGAUGUGGAGGAACACCAGUGGCGAAGGCGACUCUCUGGUCUGUAACUGACGCUGAGGCGCUAAAGCGUGGGGAGCAAACAGGAUUAGAUACCCUGGUAGUCCACGCCGUAAACGAUGAGUGCUAAGUGUUAGAGGGUUUCCGCCCUUUAGUGCUGCAGCUAACGCAUUAAGCACUCCGCCUGGGGAGUACGGCCGCAAGGCUG
rnacentral:rRNA from 1 species